UACGGGGGGAGCAAGCGUUGUUCGGAUUUACUGGGCGUAAAGGGCGCGUAGGCGGCCACCGCAAGUCGGUUGUGAAAUCUCCGGGCUUAACCCGGAAAGGUCAACUGAUACUGCGGGGCUAGAGUGCAGAAGGGGCAACUGGAAUUCUCGGUGUAGCGGUGAAAUGCGUAGAUAUCGAGAGGAACACCUGCGGCGAAGGCGGGUUGCUGGGCUGACACUGACGCUGAGGCGCGAAAGCCAGGGGAGCAAACGGG
rnacentral:rRNA from 1 species